rnacentral:rRNA from 1 species
AUCGAACGCUGGCGGCAGGCCUAACACAUGCAAGUCGAACGAGCGGCGGACGGGUGAGUAAUGUAUGGGGACUGCCCGAUAGCGGGGGAUCACUACUGGAAACGGUGGCUAAUACCGCAUAAUGUCGGAUAACCCAUAUGGGAUUAGCUAGUCGGUAAGGUAAUGGCUUACCUAGGCGACGAUCCCUAGCUGGUCUGAGAGGAGGAUCAGCCACACUGGGACUGAGACACGGCCCAGACUCCUACGGAGGCAGCAGUGGGGAAUAUUGCGCAAUGGGCGAAAGCCUGAUGCAGCCAUGCCGCGUGUAUGAAGAAGGCCCUAGGGUUGUAAAGUAUUUUCGUUCGGGAGGCGUUACCUACAGAAGAAGCCCCGGCUAACUCCGUGCCAGCAGCCGCGGUAAUAC